UGAACAAAGUAUCUGACACACGUGAAGUGCUUGAUAGUUGUAAGCCUUCAUUUUCAGGCCAGUGUGAGUUCUUAUGACUUCGUAAUAGUAGUAGUCAUAAUAAUAGCUGAGGUGACGGAGCGCGUCACAGGGGCCUGUGGGGUCGCCAGUGCUGUUCCCACUUCACAGAUGGGGACACUGAAGCUGGGACAUUACAGAGCCAGGUUAAAAGGUAGGUCCUCCUGACCCCAAAGCCUGUGCCCUUAACCUCUUGCCUUACUAUAUCUCAGGGCUUGUGUGCCACUCGGGACCUCUGACUCUUGAGUUACAAGAGGGAGGAAGGACAGCGAUCCUUAGCACCAGGAUCUGCUGAGGAAGAAGAGAGCAGAGUGUGUGAAGUGCCUCCUCAUGGUGCCAGGUGACAUGAUGCGUGUCCUUGUACUCCCACCAUCCUCAAUGCUGUCCCGCUCCACCCAUCCUUCGGGACUAUUUCAGCCCUUCCGGCUGAGUUCUUGCUUCUGACCCCACCACACCCGAAUUCUGCAGCUACCAGCAGACGGAUCCUCCUCCCACAGCCUGCUUUUGUCCCACCACCUCCCUGGGCAGGAAUCUUCACUAGCUCCCCAUUGAAUGACAUCCAAACCCAGCCUAGCACACAGGGAUCUCCACACCACGGCCUCAGCUGACCGACCCUUUUAAUUCCAUCGCUUAAAAACAAUCUUGCUGAAGCCUGGAAGCACCGCACUGCCUUUCAGUGGGUGGAUGGCUAAGUGACCUGUGUACAUCCAGACAACAGGAUGUGACUGAGCACUCAAAAGAAACGAGCUGCCAGGCCCUGAAAAGACGUGGAGGGAACUUAAAUGGACUUCCUAAGUGAAAGAAGCUGGUCUGAAAGGCUGCAUGCUGUGGGAUGCCACCUUUAUGGCAUUCUGGAAAAUCAAAACUAUGGAGAUGAGUGUGCACCAGCAAGAGUGAGCCCGAAUGUAAACCCCAGGUGACGCCGGGUGAUGAUGAUGUGUCCGCCUGGGCUCAUCCAGGGAAGGAAGUCCUGUUCACGAAGUUAUUUUCUGAACAUCCCCCUACACUCUAGAUUUCACAACAUGCAUACAUUUAGGUGGAGGGACCGAGACUUCGUGCCCUCAAUGGCAGCUGUAAUUUGGGAGUCAAACGCCAUCAGGGAGCAUUGAUAGCUUCUGUGUGAUCCCCUCGUAUAGACAAGAAAAGGUCAGAAUCGAAGGAGGAAUGAAAUAUUUACUUUAAAGAAAGAGACUUUCAGAACGGAGAGUCUGAACACUUCUGGAAAUAAGCCUGAAGUCAGAGGUCAACUCAGCGAGAUUCUACAACGGGGAAGUUGAGAGUUUAGAGAAGGACCAGGAAAAAAAUAGAAUGACCCAGCCACUGGGAGGUGCCAGUGACCCUGGACUGCUGUUCUUAAAAGGCCCCUCUCGCUUAGUCGUGGAGCCCAGGGCCAUCGCUUUGUGGCCCAAGGAACGUGCAGCCUACACUGGCCUCUGCAUGGCAACUCGCUACGACGUUUGCACUCGUUCAUCUAAAGCGAGGGAGGGCCACCCUCCUACGUCCUCUUCCGUCCUGCCUCUGUGAACUGCACAGAGUUUGCAUCAAGCCCUUCUAGACGUAAAGCCUAAUCGUGUAAGGCGUAGGCACGGUUGAAAUCAGCUGACUUCUCGUCCUCGGCUCCCUAUCAUCUUUCUUUCCCCUUCCUGUUGGAGGUGGUCAUCUCCAUGUGCCUCUGUGUUGAAGUAUGCAGAUUAUAAGCACCAUGUUCAGUGCCUGCUGGCACCGAUUGCUUCACACAUCUCAUUGAAUCUUUGCAACAGGUCUUUAAGCUGCUUAUUUCUAUCUGCGGUUGCAAAGGAGGACACAGGCUCAUGGCAGCUACAGGGACUUUUGGGGAAGGGCCUGUGCCAGUGUGAUAGAGGCAGGACGUGAGCGCAGGUCUGGAGCUCACUUGUCUCGGGGACCGCACCCCACGCUUCUGAGAGCACAGCUGGAGGGGACUCGCUGCCCUCCUGGUCAGCGUCUUUGGCCUGGGACAGACUCUGGCCACAGGAGGCCUACUCGCUCUGCAGUGUCGCUCUCGGGGGCCCGGCCCCCUCACCACUGCUUUAUUUAUUAAUGUGGCUUCAGAGCGUUAGGGCCCCAGACUGUCUAGUCCACACUCGUGCUUUAGACGAGGAAACAGAUGCACCCAAGAGGAAUAAAUGGACUAGAGGGAUGUAUCAGACAGCGUUGCUGCCCCGACUCAGCGGCUUAAAACAGCGAAGGCUGAUCGUUCCUCACGAUUCCGAGGGUGGACCGGCCGGCUCUUCAGUCGAUCUCCC
rnacentral:lncRNA from 1 species